rnacentral:rRNA from 1 species
CCUACGGGGGGCUGCAGUGAGGAAUAUUGGUCAAUGGGCUUACGCCUGAACCAGCCAAGUCGCGUGAGGGAAGACUGCCCUAUGGGUUGUAAACCUCUUUUGUCAGGGAGCAAUUGGCGCUACGUGUAGCGUUAUCGAGAGUACCUGAAGAAAAAGCAUCGGCUAACUCCGUGCCAGCAGCCGCGGUAAUACGGAGGAUGCGAGCGUUAUCCGGAUUUAUUGGGUUUAAAGGGUGCGUAGGCGGAAUGCCAAGUCAGCGGUAAAAUCGCGGGGCUCAACCACGCUCCGCCGUUGAAACUGGCGGUCUUGAGUGGGCGAGAAGUAUGCGGAAUGCGUGGUGUAGCGGUGAAAUGCAUAGAUAUCAUGCAGAACUCCGAUUGCGAAGGCAGCAUACCGGCGCCCAACUGACGCUGAGGCACGAAAGCGUGGGUAUCGAACAGGAUUAGAUACCCUAGUAGUC